CCUACGGGAGGCAGCAGUGAGGAAUAUUGGUCAAUGGGCGCGAGCCUGAACCAGCCAAGUCGCGUGAGGGAGGACGGCCCUACGGGUUGUAAACCUCUUUUGCCGGGGAGCAACGGGCGCCACGUGUGGCGCCACUGAGAGUACCCGAAGAAAAAGCAUCGGCUAACUCCGUGCCAGCAGCCGCGGUAAUACGGAGGAUGCGAGCGUUAUCCGGAUUUAUUGGGUUUAAAGGGUGCGUAGGCGGAUCGUUAAGUCAGUGGUCAAAUUGAGGGGCUCAACCCCUUCCCGCCAUUGAAACUGGCGAUCUUGAGUGGGAGAGAAGUACGCGGAAUGCGCGGUGUAGCGGUGAAAUGCUUAGAUAUCGCGCAGAACCCCGAUUGCGAAGGCAGCGUACCGGCUCCACACUGACGCUGAGGCACGAAAGCGUGGGUAUCGAACAGGAUUAGAUACCCCUGUAGUC
rnacentral:rRNA from 1 species